rnacentral:sRNA from 1 species
GCCAGACGUGGUAGCGCACACCUGUAAUCCAGGCAGCUCUGGAGGCUGAGGCAGGAGGAUUGUGAGUUCAAAGCCAGCCUCAGCAACUUAACAAGAUCCUGUCUCAA